CUGUAGUUAACAUGGUCUACCAUGCACUUGCCGAGAGGAGCUAUAAUUAUCUUUCUUUCAUGGUCUGUAUCAUGCACUUGCCGACAGAAAAAUACUUCAUAAGUAACAGGCCUUAACAAUUAGCUACAUAUACUGGAAUUUGUAUAAUGGAACUUUGGAGGAGAGUGCUACUGUAGAAAGCAAAGUUAGAACGGGCAAGGUUCAUGGUCUUUCUAAAAACAAGAAGUUUCAGGUGCGUUUGUAGCAGUGAAAGCUGACAAGCUUUGCACUUGGUACAUUGUAGAAUCUGGUGCGUAGGUAGGACGGGAACACUCAUAUGUUACAUAAGAACACACCCAUUUGAAGUAGUUUAUUUGUUGCUUCAUUUGCUGAAUAGAUUGGUGAAAAAUAACAUUUCAUCAUGUAGCCGUAGAUAGAGAGAGGGAGAGAGAGAGUUCAUAAGCCUAUAAAAAAAUGGGGAGUUCAUGAACAUAUAAAGAAAUUUAAAGUUCUAACAAUAAUUAUUCAAAUACAUCUCUAAUUAAAGAUGGAAAUCAAAUAUUACGGUGUUUAAUCAUCUUGUUGUUGUCGGUUCACACGUCGUUGAUGAUUAGUCCACAAUUAUUGAGCGAUGCCAGCACGAACUCUCUCACCAGCAACUCGGUCAUCUUCUCUUGCUUGCCCACGAACUUGUUGAUCACCAUGGUCAACAUUUUCUUGUGUUUCCCCAUGCUCAUAAAGCUCAAACAACUCAUCAGGCUCAUUAACCUUCCUUAUGAAGUUGUGGAUGAUGCAACAAGCCAUAACAAUUUUAACUUGGGUUCUAUAUGGAUAAGGAAUUCCUCCUUUCCUACUUAGAAUUGGAAAACGAGCUUUCAGAACACCAAAGGUUCGUUCCAUAUAGAGCACCCUGUGGUCACUAAUAUUUCGAUCUUUUGAGGGCCAAGAUCUCAAGCAUGAAGUUCAUUUACUAUGAAGCUGGGCUAGGUUUCCCCACUUAUUGCCGUCAACUUCACAUUGGACAUCACAAGGACGGGUGAAGCCACGAAUCCUGAUUGAAGACCGGAAGAUGAUGAUGAUAACAAGAGCUCGAUGGAGGUGUGCAGUCCUAUUGAAGAUGGCCAAGUUCAGAUCCAAAGGCGAUGUAUUCCAUCCAGUGCCUGUGGCCGGGGAUCGCAGCCAGCCUGUGCGAUCUGUGUGUGGAACGCACCAUGCGGCCAACAAAAUCCUGUUAUAUAGGCAAUGGAAAAAGGCGGGAGGUGAGUCGCAGAAAGAAAAAUUGGCGCCAAUGUGGUUGUUUAGGAAGGGCGGAGGCGGAGAUGGUCAGUUGCGAUCUGUAUUUGUUAAUCGCGUUUGUGGAAAAACGACUAAUACUCGUUUUCCCACAAACCUGGAAUUUUGGGCUUUUGUGAAACGUGUUUCCUAUAUGCAUGGGUUAGUUGGAGGAGCCAAACAAGAUUUUGUACGGUUAGGCCGUUUUUCUGGCUUAUGGAGAUCCCGAUCUGUAUGUUCCCCUUA